GCUUAGCGCGCGGCCAAACAAAUUGGUUGUGCCGUCCGCUUCUCAAAACGGCAUGCAAGCCACUUGGCCAGCCAGCAAAAUCUUCCAACUUGUGCCGUACAUAGAUCCAGCAGGAGUAGAGCCAUGCACUCGUCCCUACCUAACACGACUAGUGAUUAGUGAAACUACCGGGGCAGAUUAAUGGGCGGAGCUCCACCAGGAACAAACCUAGAGGGCAAUUCCGACAAACCCAAAUGGGCUGCGUUCUUAUCUGAAACUUUAAUUCUUCAGCUUCUAUUUUUUAGAAAAUAUUUUAACCUUUUAAUUCGCAGAAAAGUUCAAAAAUAAAAUAAAAAAGCAAUACUCACUGGCGUUGGCUCUCCCUAGUGGCACAACGAGAUGCAGAUCCGGCGCGCGGUGCCGACGAUAGCGACAAAUCGGGGGAGGAGGAGCAGCGGCGGUGGUGCACCGGUGUACCAAGGGAGGAGGAGCGGCGCCGAGGGUUUAAGGGGAGGGCCGCACGCGUGGCAAACAGCUGGACGAACGGCAAGAAGGUUACUUGAAAACUAUCAUAUACUAGUUGAAAACCACCGAUUAAGUUACCGAAAGAUUCUGUAAAUUUAGUAAGUCUUAUUAAAAAAAAAAAUUUUUUAAGAGCUGUGCUAGGGGCAAAAGCCGACCUGUCC
rnacentral:lncRNA from 1 species